rnacentral:lncRNA from 1 species
GCAUAUCCAAACUACAGAUCUGCACGGGCCGGUUUUUCAGGCCCCGGGCCGGCCCGAGCCCAAAAGUACCAUGCGUUGGCACGCCCGGGCCCG